AAGAGCCGGAUGCGGGAAAUCCGCAAGUCCGGUUCUGUGAGGGGCUGGAGCCAACGGAUGUAUGAUUGAGAUAAUGUGGCACCGCCGGGAAACCAGGCGGCAAACGGAGAAAACAAAUAUCAACCUGAAUAUUGGGAGAAACCGGUCUACUCGAC
rnacentral:ncRNA from 1 species